rnacentral:rRNA from 1 species
GAGAAUCUGCCCUUAAGUGGAGGGUAACUUUGGGAAACUGAAGGUAAUCCUGCAUAGUCUCGUAAGAGUAAAGAUGGCCUCUUGCUAUCGCUUAAGGAUGAGCUUGUGGUCUAUUAGCUAGUUGGUGAGGUAAUGGCUCUACCAAGGUAAUGAUGGAUAUCUGGCCUGAGAGGGUGUACGGACACAUUGGGACUGAGAUACGGCCCAAACUCCUACGGGAGGCAGCAGUGGGGAAUAUUGCGCAAUGGGCGAAAGCCUGACGCAGCGACGCCGCGUGGAGGAUGAAGGUCUUUGGAUUGUAAACUUCUGUUAUACGGGAAAAAAUACGAUUGGUUAAUACCCAGUUGGGAUGAUUGUACUGUAAAAGAAAGCCCCGGCUAACUUCGUGCCAGCAGCCGCGGUAAUACGAAGGGGGCGAGCGUUGUUCGGAAUUACUGGGUGUAAAGUGUAUGUAGGUGGUUCUUUAAGUCUAAUGUUUAAUUUUGCGGCCUAACCGCAAGUCUGCGUUAGAUACUGAAGAUCUAGAGGCUUAUAGAGAGAAGUGGAAUUUUCGGA